rnacentral:piRNA from 1 species
UCUUUAUAGCUUACAUGUUGC